AAAACUGCCACUGCGCUCUUCCCCCUCACAUCGUCGCCUUUACCUCUUAAAAUCUUAGCUCAGGGCUCCGACCUCUCAAACCCUAAAUCGAAGCUCGUCUGGACCGUCUCGACAUCUGCGGUACGGCCUUGUCGUCGGACCUAAGCUUCGAUCUCGCUGGAACAACACCGAUGGCGAGCCGGAGGUGAUGCAGAGGCGUUUGAGGAGAGAAGCGUGGAGCCCAAAUAGAGCAGAGUCGUCGAGAGAAGCCAAUUUAAUUUCGGUUUCCGACCGAUGGAGAAUCGGAUAAUUCUCGGCGGCAGCAGUGGACGUGCCAUCGGUCGCGGCGGCGGAGAGUGGGUGAUUGUCGUCGGAAUUGAGUCCUCCCGGGCGGUGAAGUCAGUACGGAUUUGAUGAGAGUUUUGGUGGAAGUGAGUAUCAGAGGCUUCCUCCUCCCCACAAUUGGAAAUAGUUGAGCUCUCUCUCUCUCUCAAGUUGGCUUCAACGUCGUCUUUGACUAUCUCAAAUGAUGUUGAUGCAACAAUGCUGGAGUGCAUUGCAUUUUCGUGCCCAAAUCUUGAAUCUAUGGAGAUCUAUAUUUCUGAGAAGGCAACCAAUCUAAUUAUUGGGUGUGGUUUUACAUUUCUGUUGAGGUAGUUAAGAGUGAAGGUGAAAACAAAUCGAGUAAUGACUGAUAAUUGGACGCAUUCUGUGAUUUACAAAAAUGCAGUGAUGAACUGAGUAUACAGAUUUUGAUUGUUAAUGUAUGAAUAGCUCAUGGUGGUGUGUACGGCAUCAUCACAUUAUAAUCAUAGUCGUCUCACAGCGUUCUGCUUCCUAAAAUUAUUGUUAUGUUGUUAGCCUAGCAUAUGAAAAUGCAUUGUGGUCGUGUUCGAUUUUAUAUGCUUUUUAGCUUUGUAAUUCUGUAAAGUAGAUCAUAGUUAUAUAUACAUGCCUGAUAUGAAGCAUGCAUCCACUGUUAGUAGACUCUAUAAUCAACUAUCGUCUUGUCAAAGAUUAUUUGUUGUUUUGUUUUAGUUUUAGUUUUUAUGAUUCACUGUGUUUGAACCUAAAGUGGGGCUAUAGGUAUUGAAAGACUGCCUUUCAAACCAGAGGGGUACAAUUUUUGGACUUGGAGAGGUCAUAAAAUUCAUUAUGUCGUGCAAGGAGAAGGGCAUGCUGUUCUUCUUAUUCAUGGUUUUGGUGCUUCUUCAUUUCACUGGAGGUAUAACAUACCAGAGUUGGCUAAAAAAUACAAGGUUUAUGCUAUAGACUUGCUGGGCUUCGGUUGGAGUGAAAAAGCACUGGUUGAAUAUGAUGCCAUGAUUUGGAAAGAUCAAGUAGUGGACUUCUUGAAGGAGAUAGUGAAAGAACCAACAGUUUUGGGUUCUGUGUUGGGUUUUUGCAGGGGACGAUUACAAGAUUAAAGUUUGGAACUACAAGAUGCAUAGAUGUCUUUUUACUCUUCUCGGGCAUCUAGAUUAUAUUCGUCCCGUGCAAUCUCACUUUUUUUUAUGCUUGAAGCUUUGUUGAAAGAUUUGUACAAUGAUGUAAGUUUUAUAAUGGUCUAUGCUACAUGUGCUCUAUGCACUAUAGUCAUUCUCAUUAAGGUUUAUGAACCAUUCGUUUGAAGGCAAUGAUUUCUUAUUCUUGGUCCCCA